UGAAGGCCAUCAGAGUUGGCCCUCCUGUGAUAGAAUUUCAUGGAACACUCAUGGGAUGGAAUUCUGGUGGUUCUUAUGACAUCGCAGCUAUUGCACAGUUACAAUGCAGGUUCAAAUGUUGCAACUGAAACAUAUUCUUGACAGCAACAAGCAGAUACACACACAGCUGAAGUAGGACAUUUUCAUAGAGCAGUUUCUUUGAAAAAAGCUCAGAUGACGGAACAAGGAGAUGGGGCCCAUGCUCAGCCUAAUGAGGGGCAACCACUUUUUGCUGAAGGUGGUAACUGGGAAGAUAUGGACGACUUCUUUGAAAAUGGUGUGGAACACGUUAUAAUGUUUGCACCACAAAUCUUUGAAGUUGCGAGACUUUGGGAGCUAGAGCAGCUUAACAACAAUGGUGAUCACAUCAAUCAGAACAAUUUCUUCAACAUUCAUUUUGAAAUUGAUGACAGCAACUCUGAUGAUGGAAAUGAUGACAACAAUGCUGAUGAUGAAAAUGACCACAGUAACAGCGAUAUUGAACAUGACCACAAUUAUGGCAAUUAUAAUUUUGCCGAUGAUAAUCAAAAUGCUGACAGCAGCAACAAUGAAGAAGAACGCAAUGAAGGUCAUCAAGAUGAAAAUGACCUUGCUGCUGCUGAGGUUGACUAUGACGUCAACCCGGAUGCAGGAGAAUCAGAGGAGGAUCUGCUUCCUGGAGGAUUUAGGAGACAGUUUAGAGAGGAAGACAGUGACGAUGAGAAAAGUCAUGCCAGUGAAACUUUCCACUGGUGGGAUGAAUUUGCUGACAGCGCCUCUGAAGAACAAGACUCACUACUUGAAGGCAAUAAAGAAAGUGAUGAGAGUGAUGAAGACGAGAGGUGAAUCUAAAUAGUGACAUGCCAACCGUCACUCACAGUGACUGAAUGGAACCUCUUUAAUAAAAAUGCAU
ensembl:lncRNA